rnacentral:rRNA from 1 species
UUUUUGGAAGGUAAAAAUCGUAACAAGGUUU